rnacentral:tRNA from 1 species
UCAGUGGUUUAAUGGCAGAACAUUAGCCUUCCAAGCUGAAAGGGAUGGUUCGAUUCCCUUCCCUU